rnacentral:rRNA from 1 species
UGGGAAUAUUGGACAAUGGGCGAAAGCCUGAUCCAGCCAUGCCGCGUGUGUGAAGAAGGUCUUCGGAUUGUAACGCACUUUAAGUUGGGAGGAAGGGCAGUAAGCGAAUACCUUGCUGUUUUGACGUUACCGACAGAAUAAGCACCGGCUAACUCUGUGCCAGCAGCCGCGGUAAUACAGAGGGUGCAAGCGUUAAUCGGAAUUACUGGGCGUAAAGCGCGCGUAGGUGGUUCGUUAAGUUGAAUGUGAAAGCCCCGGGCUCAACCUGGGAACUGCAUCCAAGACUGGCGAGCUAGAGUAGGGCAGAGGGUGGUGGAAUUUCCUGUGUAGCGGUGAAAUGCGUAGAUAUAGGAAGGAACACCAGUGGCGAAGGCGACCACCUGGGCUCAUACUGACACUGAGGUGCGAAAGCGUGGGGGGCAAACAGG